rnacentral:rRNA from 1 species
AAUGAACGCUGGCGGCGUGCCUAACACAUGCAAGUCGAACGCGAAAGCCCGCAAGGGCAAGUAGAGUGGCGCACGGGUGAGUAAUGCACAAGAAUCUGCCCUUCUGUGAAGAAUACCUCUGAGAAAUCAGGGUUAAUACUGCAUAAGCCCGGAAACGGGGAAAGGUGGCCUCUUGCUACCGCAGAAUGGAUGAGCUUGUGUCCUAUCAGCUAGUUGGUGAGGUAAAGGCUCACCAAGGCAAAGACGGGUAGUCGGCCUGAGAGGGUGUACGACCACAAUGGGACUGAGACACGGCCCAUACUCCUACGGGAGGCAGCAGUAGGGAAUAUUGGACAAUGGGCGCAAGCCUGAUCCAGCCAUGCCGCGUGAGUGAAGAAGGCCCUCGGGUUGUAAAGCUCUUUUGUUGGGGAAGAAAAGCAGUUGGUUAAUACCCGAUUGUUCUGACGGUACCCAAAGAAUAAGCACCGGCUAACUUCGUGCCAGCAGCCGCGGUAAG